AGCCCACUUACUCUAAAUCCAACUUUUUAAAAAAAAUAAGAGUUAAAAAUGCCACUUGUGAAAAAGUAUCCACACGUGAGAAGGAUGAGUAUUGACACGAUCUUUAUCAGCCAUAUCUAACGAUAUGGUUCAGCUUUGUCGCUGGACUUUAGAUCCAUCAUCGCUAGCUCCUUCUAUAGGUUUACCGCCGCCGGCCUGCCAAAUUUUGCUCUCAAUUCAAAAAUUCUUCAAAAAAAGCUCCACCUCAAAACCUUAAAAGGUCCACUUCAUACCAGUCUUCAUACCAGUCGGUAGUAAGUUACAAGGAUAUUAGUCCUUUAGAAGAGCCAAGCCGACAGUAAAUCAUACAUAAUCUAAACAAGAUUUAAUUUUAAGUCAUGUAGAAAGAGAAAACACAAAAAUCCAGCACUUAGACAAAACUAAGUUUGG